CACGGGGGGAGCAAGCGUUGUUCGGAUUCAUUGGGCGUAAAGGGUGUGUAGGUGGCGCGCUAAGUCGGGUGUGAAAUUUCGGAGCUUAACUCCGAAACUGCAUUCGAUACUGGCGUGCUUGAGGACUGGAGAGGAGACUGGAAUUUACGGUGUAGCAGUGAAAUGCGUAGAUAUCGUAAGGAAGACCAGUGGCGAAGGCGGGUCUCUGGACAGUUCCUGACACUGAGGCACGAAGGCCAGGGGAGCAAACGGG
rnacentral:rRNA from 1 species